CCUACGGGAGGCAGCAGUGGGGAAUAUUGGGCAAUGGGCGCAAGCCUGACCCAGCAACGCCGCGUGAAGGAAGAAGGCUUUCGGGUUGUAAACUUCUUUUAAGGGGGAAGAGCAGAAGACGGUACCUCUUGAAUAAGCCACGGCUAACUACGUGCCAGCAGCCGCGGUAAUACGUAGGUGGCAAGCGUUGUCCGGAUUUACUGGGUGUAAAGGGCGUGCAGCCGGGCAGACAAGUCAGAUGUGAAAUUCCCGGGCUCAACCCGUGAACUGCAUUUGAAACUGUUUGUCUUGAGUGUCGGAGAGGUAAGCGGAAUUCCUGGUGUAGCGGUGAAAUGCGUAGAUAUUAGGAAGAACACCAGUGGCGAAGGCGGAUUACUGGACGACAACUGACGGUGAGGCGCGAAAGCGUGGGGAGCAAACAGGAUUAGAUACCCCGGUAGUC
rnacentral:rRNA from 1 species